GUUUCAAAUAAGAAAGCAACCCUGAGUUUUUGUUUUUAAUGUCAUUUAGGGAGCAUCUACUGUAUUAUACUUGUUUUAUCUUAUAUCUUUGGUAUCAUCACAUGUCAUAUCUCAUCCCUCAUAUCUUCCCACUAGUCUGACCGAUAGAUAUUACUAUCCCCAUUUUACAAAUGAGAAAACUGAGGCUAGAGCUUAAGUGAGUUCCCUUUAUCCAGAUAGGGUCAGAAUUUGAAUUCAGGUCAAUUUGACUAUAAAACCACCAUAAUUACUAUUUUUUUUUUUUGCUUUCACUCCUCCUUCUGUUUCUUUCAGAGGAUUAUAUUCGUUAUGCCCAUGGUCUGAUAUCUGACUACAUCCCUAAAGAAUUAAGUGAUGACUUAUUUGCUUCUUGGUUUCCCCAGCAGUGGGGUUUCCUUAUGGCUUAUCAUAUCACUGUUUAUGAUACAAGAUUAUUCUUCAGCUAUGUCAUAUACUUUGUGCUUUGGGGAUGAUUCUGUGAGGUAAAGCUGUAAUUUAAUUAUUUUCUCACCAGUUUAGUUUUUCAUUUAAUCUGUAGGAUUAUUUUGUCAAGUUCUAAGAGUAAGUUCCAAUGGGAUUUUUACUGAGAUUUUGUUAGAUGCAUAACUUACUUUGGGAAAACAAACAUCUUUACAAACUUAAAUAUUCUUAUUUGGGAAUAUAGUAUUUCUUUUUAGUUACUCAAGUCUUAAGAAUACCUUUCACUAAUGUUCGGUUCUUCAUCUUCAAUAGGUUCUAGACAUAUCUUUGUAUGAGUAUGUGUAGAUAUUUUCAUUGCUAUUAAUGAAAUCUGUUUUUUUCCAGCUAGGUCUACCAACUGGUCAUUUUGUGGUAAAGUUUUAUAUUUUUAUAUAUUUAUCUUUUAAAUAACCAGUUUACUAAACUAUUAAUGGAAAAAU
rnacentral:lncRNA from 10 species